rnacentral:lncRNA from 1 species
GCGAUUGCAGAUCUAGUGCUUGCGAGUGCAGAUCUAGUGUCCGUGGGCGGAGCUAGGGUUUGCGAGUGCGCUGUGGGAGUGGGCAGAUCUGCAAAUAAGGUGUUUAUUUUAUUUUAUUUGGGUUAUUGGGUUAGGCGGAUCCGGCCCGGAUCCGCCUAACCCGCUCCAGCGCAUGAAGGCAAACGCCUACAGCGCAUGACCGCCUAUGUGACGCCUAGGCGACAUAUGGGCAGAAAGAAAUCGCAGAUGGAAACAACAUACUUUAAGUUGGCACAUAUGGGCAGAAAGAAAUCGCAGAUGGUAACAACAUACUUUCAGACCAUUAGAAACAGUGCUAAAGGAGGUAAUCAAGGACAUCAGCUUAUCCUUCAAGCCUGAGUGCUUCAAAAAAUGUUGUUGUCAUCCCUUGGAGACUAGCACAAUGCAGAUAUGGGAGACCAACCUCUGGAGGCAGAUAGUCUAGAGUUUUCUUUAGGCAAUAUGGUUGUGUGGAAAGUGUCACAAUAUACAUAUUUAUAUUUUAUGCUUAUUUCCAUUAUAUUUCAAGGCAUUGCCUUUCAUUUUUCAUUAAAUGAAAACAUUUAACAGUUUCAAAAAAAUAUUCUCAUAUUUUCUAAGGCAAAUCCUAAUUCUAUGAAACAUUGGGGAAAGUGGGAAACAUUAGGGAAAUAGAGUAUAUGCCUACUUUGGACUCUCACAUGUGGAAAACAAUAUUAGCUAAUAAGGAAACAAUAGGGAAAUGUAUAAACUGCCUGAGUAACUAUAAGGUCAUACAAAUUGCCCCCUCCAAGCACUCAGAAACAUUAAGGCCCAAAGGCAUGUUACAAGAGAUAAAUCUAGGGAUCUGGGCCAAAAAGCUUCCCAAAUUCUCCAUGUUGUUGUGAAGAAUUAAGGUCAAGAGUUUGAACACAUUAACUAGACUGCAAAGCUAGGGACUCAACAUAAAUACGUCCUGCCCACUAUGUGGAAAUGAGGAAGAAACAUUACAACACCUAUACUUUAACUGACAUUACACUAGAUCCCUAUUGAUAGAGUCCACUAGCUGCCUUAACAAUGCUGUUUGGACAAUUAGUGGGUAAAACCCCCCAUCUCUCGCAAUAGAUAUCAGGAUAGGGGAUAUUAUGGAAAUAAUACAAAAAUUCACCCACAAGUCCAGUUGUUGGGGGUACACUGGACUAUGCUAGCAUCCCUUUCCUGACACAUGGUGUGAAAGGAAUAGGAGAUUAAAACAACACACCCUAAGGUCCCCAGAAAUUGUCAGUAGGGAAAUUAUAAAGGAUGUGAGCAUUGCAUAUGAUUCUACAUCCUAUAAGAAGCACAAUCUUUCACAGAUUGAAAUACAAGCUAUACGCUCAGGGGAGUCCAACCUCUUGAGGCUUCAAUCCUUGGCCAGUUAGUCAGGGUCAUAGCUGUAUAAGAGAUAGACAAUGUUUUUACAUUUACUGUACUUGCAUUUCCCUAUAUUCUGUAAUCUUGAGCAAUGCCCAACCUCUUUUUCAGUAAUAAAAGUUUUAAUUUCUCAAAAAAAAAUCUUAAUUCUCUGAAUUCAAUUAAGGAAAU